GAGUGGGGAGGAGAGAGGGACAGAGAGCCUGCUUGCUUUAAAGGAGCCAACCGGCUCCUUUAACAAGUGUAAGCGGCUCCUCUCCUGCUUUGCUCCUUUAAAGCAAGCAGGCUUUCUGUCCCUCUCUCCUCCCCACUCA